rnacentral:lncRNA from 1 species
UUGCCAUAUCGGGUGUUAAAUAAUUUUCCCAGUCACCAAUCUUGCCCUUUCUAAAGAAUGCAUUAUUUUCAACUUUAAGAAGAAUUUCAUUGCUAAUCUUGUUACUCUUGUUCACCUGCAAAUUGCUCAAGCUUUCAAAACUACAAAAAUUAACUAUUUUUUGUACUAUACCUUGUCUUUCUUCUUCUACAGAGAAAGGGCACCCCAUGAACUCUGCUAUUCUCUUCACAUAGAACAACGUAUUAUUCUGUAAAUCUUCAUAUUUUAAAAACAAUAUUUUGUCAGGAUUUUCCAAGCUUGCUUUCCAAUAUCCUAAAAUAUUGUCCCAAAAAGGUCCAUAACCAGAAAACCCAGUACAAAACUUAUCAAAUGCCUCUUCCCAUGACAUAACAUCAGUCUCCAAGUGCUUACUAAUGAAAUGCCAUAGCGAGACAAACACAUCUUUAGGAUCUCUACACAUAUAAAUUAUUUUACAUGUAGAGCACUUCACAAUUGAUUUAGGCAAGGAAGCAUAAGGAACAUGAGUAGACAACAAUGGAUUUUGAGGGUCUCUUUGACGACCCUUACAAUAUAAAAACUCUAUAAGAGGCACAAUAUCAUGUGGCAUAUUUGUGAGUAAUGGGUUUAUCGAAGAACCAUCAAAAUGUUGGCUUCUUCUGAAAAUUGUAAAGCAUAGUGCCUUAAGCCAAGUUGUGCCAGAUUUUGGAAGAGUACAAAUGAUAACAUCAGUAGGUUGAGGUAUAAAAUAUUUUUGAGCUAGAAUUAUACCUUCAAGGAAAUUUGGGAAGCACCAAAAGCUUGGUAUUUGUGUAAAUUAUGAGAAAGUUGCCAACUAGUUUCUUUGGGAAGGUCUGAGAUGAUCUGUUGACAUUCAAUUAAGGCUUUUGAAAGCUCUUCCAAAUUUGAAACAUUCAUAGCUUUCAAAUUUGAAGAAGUAUAAUAUUUAGAUAGGUGAUAGUGAUAUAUAUUAAUGGAGUGUAUCAAAUAAUGCAUAUAUAAAGCCUGUUGGUAGGUUCGGUGUGUGGUCCAAAUUGGUUCGUAACAUGAUGAUAAUUCUGUAUGAUGGAAGCCUAUCAAUCAGUUAAAGUGGGUCCCGGAACUUAAGGGUCGUUUUUUUGGAAUGAGCAUAUUAUAUGUGGUAAAAUCUAUCAAAUUUAAUUUAAUUAAUUUAGGUUGAUUCGGUUUUAGUUUUAAUAAAAAAAAAAUCAUUUUUUUUAUUUCAAUCGGAUUUUUAUUAGACAAAUUGAAAAUUUUAAAAAUUUUAAGAACCAAAUUAAUUUAGCUCAAAAAUUAUGUUAAAUAAAAAUUUAACUGAAUUAUUGAAUUCAGUUCGGUUUAAUUUUAUAAAUAGUUCAAUUUUCAUGAUAUAAAAAAUUCAAUUUAUUAGAUUUAUUACUAAUUUAAUUUGAUUUAAAAAACCAAAUGUUGAUACUUUACAAACAAUUUUAAAUUUUUGUUAUUGAAAUGUGACCGAAGACAACACACAUUUUGUGUGCUCAAUUGAUUUAGAUGGAGCAUGUAAAUUCAACUUUCAAUUUAUAAAUUUUAGUAAGAUUGCACAAUUUUCCACAUUAAUAAUAAUAAUUUUAAGAUUUUUAAUUUUUAUUUACAGAAUAUCGAUUUCGAUUUGAUAUGUAUUUAGUAUAAUUUUUAUAAAUUUUAAUUAUUUUAAUAGGUGUUUAAUUGAUUUAAUUUUAGAAGUUAAAUUAUUUAACAAAAUCACUUUAGAAAAAUUGAAAUGUUUAAUAAUUUUUUAUGGAAGUUGCCACCGACAGUACUUUGAAGAGUUAAAAAAGAUCAAACAAUAGAAUAUGAAUGGCUAUAUAUAUUGGUUUUUAGUAGCUUAUAAAUCCCUAGUAAUAACAAGAAUUCAAGAAAGAUGGAGUUCUAUUUUCAGAAAGACAUUUUAAUAUUUUAUAUAUGUGGGUAUAAUUUCUGUACACUACAUAUAGUUAGAGGUUGCCAUAUUACGGUUCCCAUAACCGGAAUCGGUGGUUCGAACCGGAUCCGAAUCAGAAUCGAAACCGGUGGGAAUCGGAAUCGAAAUCGAAGAUUUUCGGUUCGGUUCCGGUUCCAGUAUUGUUGGAACCGCGAACCGACGGUUCCACAAACCGGUCGGAACUGGAAGGAACCGUCGGUUCUCCGGCCGGUUCGAACCACCGGUUCUAGCCGUUAGAAACUGUCAGUUUUUUUUUUAAACUUUUGUUGUGAAAUCUCUUAAUUACCCGUCCCAACAACCAUCAACGGCUACAUAACGGCUAGAUUUUAGGGUAUUUUUGAAAAAAUAAUUUUUUAGAUUUAUUAUAAAUUAAGUUCAAGCCCCCUUUUUUCUUUUAAAUUAUGUUCAAACUUUUUUAAACAAAAAAUAAAUUCAGUUGAAGACUUUUUUUAAAAAAAUAAUUAAGUUCAAGUCUUUAAAAAAAAUAAAUUUAAUUGAAGCAUUCUUUGAUUUUUUAGGUGUAUUUUUUUUUUAGAAAUAACUUUCACAAAUUUUUAAAAUUUUGAAAACUGGUCUUCAAAAUUUAAAAUUUAAAAUUAAGUGAUUCACUGAAAAGCCGAUCCGAACCGUCGGUUUUGAAACCGUUAAGGAACCGGAAUCUUUCGGUUCCAAACCGGAACCGGAACCGUGGCGACCCUUACAUAUAGGUAUAGAUAUCCAUGAUUUUUUAUAAAUUUUAGCAAUGUUUUGAGAAAGUGCAAUUGUAAAUUUAUAGAUUUGUCCCAAUAAAAUCUUAUCCCUUGCAUGUGAACCGUUAUCUUUACCCAUAAAAUCUUAUCCCUUACAUGUAUAUUUAAAAAAAAAAAUUUAUAUUAAGACGCAUUUUGUUUCCCUAAAAUAACUUAGAGGAGAAGAAUUUAAAAUAUCUUUAAAGACAAAAAGAAUUAGUUACACUUGUAAACUUGCAGCUAACGUUCCACCACUAGUAAUCAAUGGUUUAUGUGUAUACAUUGAAGAGCUGGUUACAUCAGAACUGUCAUUCGUAAGAUUAUAGUUUAACUAGUCAAAUGAAUAUCCUUAAUUUAUAUGGUGUCACAUUGUUUAUUAUUUUCAUAGAGCAGAUGUUUCAUGUUUCCAAAAUGAUGCAGAUCUGUAUGUAUCACUAGCACAUGCCCUUUUACCUCUUCAAAUCUUAUCUGAAUAAGAUCGAAAAAAUAUGCUCCAUUAUGUAUAUAUAAUAACAAUAAUAAUAAUUUUCCUGAAUAUAACCUAAUCCGAACCGGUUCCCCCUAAUAAAUCUUAAUAAUUUUUUGGUGUUUAGUAAUAUAUAUAUAUAUAUAUAUAUAUAUAUUUUUUUUUUUUUUUUUUUUGAGUGUUGAUGAAAAGAGAUUUGAACUUGAGUUUAUUACUAGAUGGUAUAUGCAAUUACCGCUAAAUUAUGCUUAAAGUAUGUAAUUAGUAUCAUUUCGAGUCUUUCAAAAAUACUUAUUCACAAAUUAAAAUUCUUGACUUUGUAGAAAUUGUUCAUUAAACUUUGGCUUUUCUCGAUUGAUAUUUAAAAAAUGAAAAAGAAAAGAGAACUUCGAAAAUAUAAAAACCAAAAGGACCGAUAUAACUAAAAGAAACCUAAAAAAUUCAAGAGAUUAAAGAGGAUGGGUUGUCUUCCUACUUCAUUCCUCUCAUUCUUCACCAUAGAAGAAAAUCUAUAAGUUAAUUUUUCAUUUCCUGAGCGCUUUUCCUCUUGUUCUUCAACUUACUACUUCACUUAAUUUAGAUGGAAGAUUGAAAGGAUCUGUUUCUUUUGUAGGUUUCAAUUUCUCUUGUUGUUGCUUUCAUGAACGCAAAUUUUGAUUCACCAAGUUUGAGUCCUUCUCAUCUUUUUUAGUACUCUUUUGUUUAUUUGUAAAUUUCCAUCUUUAAUUAGGAAUCGUAAUUUAGUAUUAUGUGUUUGGCAUGUGUAAUUAUUAUGUGAUUUGAGCCUAGUUUGAAAAUGCUAGACUUGAUAUUUUAAAUUAAGGCUUUUGAUUGAUAAUUUUUUUGCUUCUUUAUUAGUUUUGCUAGUUUUGUUAAAAAGAUGUUAGCUCACAGGUUAACUCGAGCUACUCAUUCUAUGUAGGUCUUGGAGAGUGGAUCUCACUCCACCUUCUUUUAUUAUUGCUACUUUAUUUUCUGAUUCCCAUUAAUACUACUUAACACAGUUAAAAAAAAAAACAUAACUGAUAUCAGGUUGUCACCUCAUGUAAGUAUUCCAAAAAAAAAAAAAAAAAAAAAAAAAAAAGAAAGAAAAGAAAUAUGCAUAUGCAAGUUCUUAUUUCAACUUCAAGAUUUAAUCACACGAUUUAUUCUAAAACAUAAAAUUUGUAAUGAACAAACAACUCACACCAGUAAUUCUAAAACACAGAAGAAUAAUUUUAGAAACAACCCAUGCUAAUACACCAGAAGCUGUUAAACAACUUAAAAAGUAAUGCCGGAGCCGUUGAAUUUGUCUUUAGUUAUCUGAUCAAGUUGUUUUACCGUUUCGAGAGUUAAAUAAUUCUUCCAAUCACCUACCUUGCCCUUUCUAAAGAACGCAUUAUUUUCAAAUUUAGAAGGAAAUGCAGUGCCAAUCUUAUCAUUCUGUAAAUCUUCAUAUUUUAAAAACAAUAUUUUCUCAGGAUGUCCCAAGCUUGCUUUCCAAUAUCCUAAAAUAUUGUCCCAGUAUGGUCCAUAAGCAGAUAAUCCAAUACAAAACUUAUCAAAUGCCUCUUGCAAUGGAAUAGCAUCAAUAUCCAAUUGCUUACAUACAAAGUGCCACUGCGAGAUAAACACAUCUUUAGGAUCCCUACACAUAUAAAUUACUUUACAUGUAGAGCACUUGAUAAUUGAUUUGGGCAAGGAAGCAUAAGGAACAUGAGUAGACAACAAUAUAAAAACUCUAUAACAGGCACAAUAUCAUGUGGCAUUUUUUUGAGCAAAGGGUUUAUUUUAGAGCCAUCAGAAUAUUGGCUUCUUGCCAAAAUUGCAAAGCAUAGGGGCUUUAGCCAGGUUGUGCCAGAUUUUGGAAGGGUAUAGAGGAUAAUAUCAGUAGGUUGAGGCAUAAAGCAUUUUUGAGCUAGCAUUAC